GAUGAAUGCUGGCGGCGUGCUUAACACAUGCAAGUCGAACGGAAAGGCCCAAGCUUGCUUGGGUACUCGAGUGGCGAACGGGUGAGUAACACGUGGGUGAUCUGCCCUGCACUUCGGGAUAAGCCUGGGAAACUGGGUCUAAUACCGGAUAGGACCACGUCUUGGAUGUUGUGGUGGAAAGUUUUUUCGGUGUGGGAUGAGCUCGCGGCCUAUCAGCUUGUUGGUGGGGUAAUGGCCUACCAAGGCGUCGACGGGUAGCCGGCCUGAGAGGGUGUACGGCCACAUUGGGACUGAGAUACGGCCCAGACUCCUACGGGAGGCAGCAGUGGGGAAUAUUGCACAAUGGGCGCAAGCCUGAUGCAGCGACGCCGCGUGGGGGAUGACGGCCUUCGGGUUGUAAACUCCUUUCGCUAGGGACGAAGCGUUUUUGUGACGGUACCUGGAGAAGAAGCACCGGCUAACUACGUG
rnacentral:rRNA from 1 species